AGUGCAAGGGCAGUCAGACUGCCUCAGACACAACACCCAGAAAUCUUCUAAAGCAGCUGUUGAUGUGUCGGCACGAGGCAACUCACGGAGGCAUACCAAGUACCUAUGACAAGUAAGACCGGAGGAGAGGACCAGACAGCAGGGAUGAGAUGGGAAACCAUGAAAGACCCACACAGCUAUGUUGUGGAUUCUUAGGAACUCCCUGUACUGGAGGAGGCGGCGAAAGGGCAGCUCAAAAGGAAAACAAGAGCAGCUUGGUAACCCCUGAGAAGCCUCUGUGCAUGUGGUCUUGUGUACACAAACAGACAUGAAGCCUGAGAGCAAAGCUGAGAAAUACAAUCACUGUGGUUUCUC
rnacentral:lncRNA from 1 species